AAGACUAUACUUUCAGGAAUCAUUUCUAUAGUUACUGACUAAGAAAUGUGAUUUGAAAGUGUUACGUCUCUUUAACCAUGAUGAUGAGCUGUGAUGUUUCUUUCUGAGCAUGAAUCAGAUGGAGAGGAAUGAUUUAUUCAUCUGCUCUUCAUCAUUAAUUAAUGUUCUGACAGUUGAGAAGAGUGAAACAUGUUUAGAGUGGU